AUGGAGAAGCAGGGAAACAUCGGCUACAUAAGUUCGAUGAGGGAAGGACGGAGGAGAACAAAGAUCAGGAUUCGUAAUAAAAGUUUCUUGCUUCGACGUCGUAACGAGUAUGGCACCUUCACAUGGAGUGAAGGCCGUAUGACCAAGACCACAUCUUUGUACCGUGAAAUGUCUGCUCGCGUGUGUCUAAGGUUGGCACUGGACGAGUACUCUGAUCUCAAGAGCAAAGGAAUGCUUAGGUGGAAGGCUUACAAAAAAAAUCGCGUGAGCAUCAACACCGCAUUACGGACCAUCGGGGAGGCCAUUAUGAGAUUAAGAAAACGUCGUGUGGAGGCCGGGCUAUUCUACUUGGUGCCACAAGCAGAUAGGGCCGCGAUACAAGUCCGCACCCACUUAUUCAGUAUGCCUUUGAAAGAGGCGCUAAGAAAACGACGCCUAGAACUCAAAAAGAGGAAGCAACUCCUGGACGCAUACAAUAAUUCUCAAAAAUCUACCGCCUACAGCAACGUCGUCUCCCUAAUGCGAGCAUCAGUAAAGAGAAUUUUGUUCUAUACUCUAUCCUCCGUUGUAUUAGGUUGUGCGAUAGUAUUCUUUUGA
rnacentral:rRNA from 1 species